ACGGGCCGGUUCCUGGGCGGCAUUCAGCGAUGACAUUUUGAUCUCUCACGAAUACCGUUUUGCACCCUCGUACACAGCGAAGCUUUACGCAGAGCAUGUUUCGAUUGGACCAAGCGGCACUGUGUCGCACUACAUCGGGACUUGGAAAGUUACUUAAACCGAAUGAAGCUUAUUCUGGAUCUGGGCGGACUCAGUAAACGAGAGGUUCUUCACUGCAAAGACUCGUCUUGGGGAUAACAUAUUAGCAACGCGCCAGUAACAGAGCUAACUUUUGGUUUACUGGAAUGGGAAUAACAGCGUCAUUGAUCAUGAGCGAAUUAUCACCCGUCUAAUCAGAUCCUGGGGACCGUUAUCAACAGUUCGUAAACUAGAGGCGUUUGCACUCUGGAGUGGGAAUAUAGCCUACUUAUUGAUCAAACAUUUAUUAAGUGAAUGCAUGAGAGUAGAGAUAGUGGAUGAAAGAACCAAAGUCUCUGUGAUAAGACUUGUGCAUUGGACUCACAGACUGUUAAGAACUGAAGUUUUAACACACUGUUCACAAAAUCACAUCACAACGGAGUUGAACAGUAUUCAAGUUUGAGAUAUAAAUGUAAAGGAUUGGUCUUUUUUUUUUAGUCGCACGGGUCCUCGCACAAGACGCGCCAGAGACACUCCAGAAAAUUACGCGCACAACUGUGGCUGGACUGUGGAAGAGCAACAUGUACCCUGCGUGCUGGACAAACGCUCCCAGUGUCUCUCCAUCUGCCUCUCUGGCAAUGUUUGGGAAUUCGGGUAAAGCGAGAAAGAGACCCUGUUGGAUUGUAAUAUUGCUGUCGGUCAUCCUACAUUUGGUGUCAGCACAAGGUAUGAAAAGUUAAUUUUGUGUGUGUGUAUGUAUUUAUUUACAGCAUUCGCAGUAUUGCAUGUAUGAAAAUUAAGCUGUAUUCCAUGAAUAUGAAGUGUUUUAAUUAAUGAGCAGUAGAUGUAAUUUUGCAUACUACAAUAGCAAGAACCGAUAACUUUAUUCUGAAGGUCAGUUUUUUGUUUUGUGUGUAUUUGUGUGUUCUGGAUUGGCAUAUAUAUUUGCAGUUUUUAGCCAGCCAGAAAACUAACCAAUCAGAAAUUCCCUCUAAAUAUAAAUGAAAAAUAUUGCACAUUGAGAUUUUACGGCAGAUAAAGGAAAACAGUUCAUUGCUCACUUUCAAACCCCUCUUAAAAUCUGCUACCAGCUAAACGUCCGUUAAAGCAUACAGUUGUGAAAUAAGUAACCGUGCAUUCUGAAAUAAAAAAAGAAAACAUGUUAUAUAUGAAAAAAAA
ensembl:lncRNA